UUGUGUAGUACUUUCAAAUCCAUUCCUAUUUAUUCAUUAAAGCAGUAAAAGAAGAUUAGCUGAAUUACUGCUAUGUACAUUCUUGACCAGUACAUUU